rnacentral:rRNA from 1 species
GAUGAACGCUAGCGGGAGGCUUAACACAUGCAAGUCGAGGGGCAUCACGAGGUAGCAAUACUUUGGUGGCGACCGGCGCACGGGUGAGUAACACGUAUGCAACCUACCCUGUACAGGGGGAUAACCCGGAGAAAUUCGGACUAAUAUCCCAUGCAAUUAUUGGAGGGCAUCCUUUGAUAAUUAAAGCUCAGGCGGUAUAGGAUGGGCAUGCGGAACAUUAGCCUAGUUGGUAGGGUAACGGCCUACCAAGGCUACGAUGUUUAGGGGACCUGAGAGGGUUAUCCCCCACACUGGUACUGAGACACGGACCAGACUCCUACGGGAGGCAGCAGUGAGGAAUAUUGGUCAAUGGGCGCAAGCCUGAACCAGCCAUCCCGCGUGAAGGAAGAAGGCCCUAUGGGUUGUAAACUUCUUUUCCAGGGGGUGAAUAAUUCCGAUGUAUCGGGAGAUGACGGUACCCUGGGAAUAAGCAUCGGCUAACUCCGUG